rfam:Ovis aries breed Texel chromosome 8, whole genome shotgun sequence.
AGCCUGGUGCAGUGGCAGUAUCAUAGCCAAUGAGGUUUAUCUGAGGUGCAAUUAUUGCUAAUUAAAG